rnacentral:rRNA from 1 species
GAUUUCUGACGAAACUGCUAGCUGGCCCGCCACUUCUAGUGUGUGAGUGCCGGCUUGGCGUUUGUCAUCCGUUCGAUGGAUAUACGCGCUGCCCUUCACUGGGUUGGUGCUGUAUGUUAUCGAUCUUUUACUUUGAAAAAAUUAGAGUGUUUCAAGCAGGCAUGUUUGCUAUGAAUACAUUAGCAUGGAAUAAUAAUUUAGGACUUCGGUUCUAUUUUGUUGGUUUCUAGGACUGAAGUAAUGAUUGAUAGGGAUAGUUGGGGGUGCUAGUAUUCAGCGGCCAGAGGUGAAAUUCUCGGAUUCGCUGAAGACUAACUUAUGCGAAAGCAUU